GCGGCUGUGGCGGAAUGGUAGACGCGGUCGGUUCAGGGCCGGCUCCCCGAAAGGGGGUGAAGGUUCGAGUCCUUUCAGCCGCACCA
rnacentral:tRNA from 1 species